GCAAACUUGGUCAUUUAGAGGAAGUAAAAGUCGUAACAAGGUUUCCGUAGGUGAACCUGCGGAAGGAUCAUUACCGAGCGUUGCCCCCCUGAAAAAUGGGGGGUGCCUCCCGUCCUUUGCAGGCCCCUCGGGGCUCUCGAACCUUCUGCUUCGGCGGGCCUCCCCCGCCGGAACACCCUCAAAAAACUCUUGUCGAAACGGUUCCGUCCGAGGGCUUUUGAAAAUCUAGCCAAAACUUUCAACAACGGAUCUCUUGGUUCUGGCAUCGAUGAAGAACGCAGC
rnacentral:misc_RNA from 1 species